UUUCGCAAUGCCCGAAAGGGUGACGAAGCGACGCCGCGUGCGGGAGGAAGGCCUUCGGGUUGUAAACCGCUGUCGGGAGUUAAGAAAUGCAAGGAUGUUAAUAGCGUUCUUGCUUGACUAAGGCUCCGGAGGAAGCCACGGCUAACUCUGUGCCAGCAGCCGCGGUAAUACAGAGGCGGCAAGCGUUGUUCGGAAUUAUUGGGCGUAAAGAGCACGUAGGCGGCUGUGUAAGUCGGUUGUGAAAGCCUUCCGCUCAACGGAAGAACGGCAUCCGAUACUGCAUGGCUUGAGUGUGGGAGGGGAGAGUGGAACUUCUGGUGGAGCGGUGAAAUGCGUAGAUAUCUGAAGGAACACCGGCGGCGAAGGCGACUCUCUGGUCCAUAACUGACGCUGAGUGUGCGAAAGCUAGGGGAGCAAACC
rnacentral:rRNA from 1 species